rnacentral:rRNA from 1 species
GAUCAUGGCUCAGGACGAACGCUGGCGGCGCGCCUAACACAUGCAAGUCGAACGAGAGAGAGGGAGCUUGCUUCCUCAAUCGAGUGGCGAACGGGUGAGUAACGCGUGAGGAACCUGCCUCAAAGAGGGGGACAACAGUUGGAAACGACUGCUAAUACCGCAUAAGCCCACGACCCGGCAUCGGGAAGAGGGAAAAGGAGCAAUCCGCUUUGAGAUGGCCUCGCGUCCGAUUAGCUAGUUGG